AAACGGAUUAAUGAAGUAAGAAAAGUAACUUUUUAAAAUUAUUCACGACGUUUAUAAGAGGUGAGAUGCGGUAGAAUGUCAAAAAGUGGCCUUUUACCCUCUUUUUUCAUCUAAAUCCUUAUCUCGGAACCAGGAAUCACUGACGAUCGCUAUGAAAUUAUGCCUGUCGUUUGUAAACGGAUUAAUGAAGUAAGAAAAGUAACUUUUUAAAAUUAUUCACGACGUUUAUAAGAGGUGAGAUGCGGUAGAAUGUCAAAAAGUGGCCUUUUACCCUCUUUUUUCAUCUAAAUCCUUAUCUCCGAACCAGGAAUCACUGACGAUCGCUAUGAAAUUAUGCCUGUCGUUUGUAAACGGAUUAAUGAAGUAAGAAAAGUAACUUUUUAAAAUUAUUCACGACGUUUAUAAGAGGUGAGAUGCGGUAGAAUGUCAAAAAGUGGCCUUUUACCCUCUUUUUUCAUCUAAAUCCUUAUCUCCGAACCAGGAAUCACUGACGAUCGCUAUGAAAUUAUGCCUGUCGUUUGUAAACGGAUUAAUGAAGUAAGAAAAGUAACUUUUUAAAAUUAUUCACGACGUUUAUAAGAGGUGAGAUGCGGUAGAAUGUCAAAAAGUGGCCUUUUACCCUCUUUUUUCAUCUAAAUCCUUAUCUCCGAACCAGGAAUCACUGACGAUCGCUAUGAAAUUAUGCCUGUCGUUUGUAAACGGAUUAAUGAAGUAAGAAAAGUAACUUUUUAAAAUUAUUCACGACGUUUAUAAGAGGUGAGAUGCGGUAGAAUGUCAAAAAGUGGCCUUUUACCCUCUUUUUUCAUCUAAAUCCUUAUCUCGGAACCAGGAAUCACUGACGAUCGCUAUGAAAUUAUGCCUGUCGUUUGUAAACGGAUUAAUGAAGUAAGAAAAGUAACUUUUUAAAAUUAUUCACGACGUUUAUAAGAGGUGAGAUGCGGUAGAAUGUCAAAAAGUGGCCUUUUACCCUCUUUUUUCAUCUAAAUCCUUAUCUCCGAACCAGGAAUCACUGACGAUCGCUAUGAAAUUAUGCCUGUCGUUUGUAAACGGAUUAAUGAAGUAAGAAAAGUAACUUUUUAAAAUUAUUCACGACGUUUAUAAGAGGUGAGAUGCGGUAGAAUGUCAAAAAGUGGCCUUUUACCCUCUUUUUUCAUCUAAAUCCUUAUCUCGGAACCAGGAAUCACUGACGAUCGCUAUGAAAUUAUGCCUGUCGUUUGUAAACGGAUUAAUGAAGUAAGAAAAGUAACUUUUUAAAAUUAUUCACGACGUUUAUAAGAGGUGAGAUGCGGUAGAAUGUCAAAAAGUGGCCUUUUACCCUCUUUUUUCAUCUAAAUCCUUAUCUCCGAACCAGGAAUCACUGACG